rnacentral:rRNA from 1 species
CCUACGGGCGGCAGCAGUGAGGAAUAUUGGUCAAUGGGCGCGAGCCUGAACCAGCCAAGUCGCGUGAGGGAAGACGGUCCUAUGGAUUGUAAACCUCUUUUGUCGGGGAGCAAAAGACGCCACGCGUGGCGUUCCGAGAGUACCCGAAGAAAAAGCAUCGGCUAACUCCGUGCCAGCAGCCGCGGUAAUACGGAGGAUUCAAGCGUUAUCCGGAUUUAUUGGGUUUAAAGGGUGCGUAGGCGGUCGGAUAAGUUAGAGGUGAAAUCCCGAGGCUCAACUUCGGAAUUGCCUCUGAUACUGUUCGGCUAGAGAGUAGUUGCGGUAGGCGGAAUGUAUGGUGUAGCGGUGAAAUGCUUAGAUAUGACGAAGAACCCCGAUUGCGAAGGCAGCUUGCUGCAGCGGAACUGACGCUGAUGCUCGAAAGCGCGGGUAUCGAACAGGAUUAGAUACCCCUGUAGUC